GUGCCUCGCGGCGCCAGGCACUGUUCUACAGACGAGAGAUACGGCAGUGACAGAGAGGACGUCUCACCUGUCAUGGAGCUGACAUCCUCAUCAGGGGGAGAAUCAACACAUAAGGAAACAGGAGGUGAGAUGCUGUGGUGAAAGGCUGGUUUCAAAUUUGGCCACCAUGGAGCUUGGGUUGGUUUCAACUGUUUCCCAUCAAUGUUUUUCUGGCUUCUGGACAAGGCUUGACAGAAGAGAGAGAAGAUGCAAGACAGACUCAGGAUACCUGUAUCUGCAUCCAGGCUCCGCCACUGACAGGUUAUUUGAUCUGAGACAAGUCACUCACCUCUAACAGCCUUGUUCCUCUCAUAUAAACUUGAAAGCAUAAUAAUAACUGCAUUAGAAUAAUAAUGAUUUACUUGACGUUAGGCUCAGAUAAGAGGAUGACUGAAAAUGCUCUGCAAACUGCAAUUUACUGUACAAAUGUUAAUUGCUCUGGUUGCUGUUGUUGUUUAUAGUAAGAGACUGAAUGACGCUGAAGAGAGAGAACAGUAGCUCCUAGAGGAAACUUUGAGGCCUACUAGGAGGAAGCCUGGGAAGGGAGAAAAGUAAGCAAAAAGGAGGAAAAAAAGGUUUUUUAGCUCCCUAGACACUGGGCAUCAGAGGGACAGCUCUCUUGGUUGCAGGGGAGGCUGAGGAAGCCCAGAGCCUGAAGGCAGCAGGAGAGGCUCUAGAGAGGCCAGAUUUCAGGGGGCCACACUGCCACUCAGGGGCUGAGGAUCAGACCAUUGGAACUGGGCACACCAGAUCAGAGUGUCCCACUCAGGGCCAAUCGCAGGCCUAGCCCAACUGUCCAGGACUCGCAUUCACAAUGGCCUCAAAUUAGACCUUUGAUGCUGUUUCCAGAUGAGUUUGUGUAGUCACGGAGAUACUGACAGAGUGAGAUGUUACUCACUCAGCUUUAAAUGUGUGUCUCAUCUUAAGCUGUGCCUUUCUCUAGUGCAUUGGGAAUUCAAUUUUUAUAAAUCCUUUGAUCAUAUUGUGGAUAUCGCAAUUAUAAAUUUUUUAAUAAAAAUAUUGAUUUGUUAAAUGUAAAUUUUUUUUUUUUUGAGAAAGAUUAGCCCUGAGCUAACAUCCACUGUCAAUCCUCCUCUUUGUGCUG